rnacentral:rRNA from 1 species
GACGAACGCUGGCGGCGUGCCUAACACAUGCAAGUCGAGCGGAGAUUUCUUUGGCACUGAGUGCUCUAAUAUUGACGUGCACCAAGCGUCAUGCAGAAACAACCUUAAUAGAUGAAAAAAGGUUUCUGCAUCACGCGUUAAUUAAGUACCGACACAUAAUAGCAAUUCAGGUUAGAGUAUUGAGUGCCGAAGAAAUCUUAGCGGCGGACGGGUGAGUAACACGUGGGCAACCUGCCUUGGAGUGGGGGAUAACACCGGGAAAUCGGUGCUAAUACCGCAUAACAUACACAUACUGCAUAGUGAGUGUAUCAAAGGAGCAAUCCGCUUUAAGAUGGGCCCGCGUCUGAUUAGCUAGUUGGUAAGGUAACGGCUUACCAAGGCGACGAUCAGUAGCCGACCUGAGAGGGUGACCGGCCACACUGGAACUGAGACACGGUCCAGACUCCGUACGGAGGCAGCAGUGGGGAAUAGUUGCGCAAUGGGGGAA